AGAGCUUUGGUACUUGGCUAGCCUGAUGUAUUUAAGAGCAGCCUGCUGCUGCUGCUGCUUCCUACAGCUCCAGCUACCUGUGUUAGUCCUUUUGGCUAUCUCACAUCACAACCCCAGAACUCCACCUGCGGAGCUUCAGGCUCUCAGCAGUGUGUGAAAGCAUUCACCUGUCCCCAGGAUUCUUUUGGAUGGAAGGUGCCUUACAGAAGUAUCAAGAGCUACAUAUCCCGUUUCUUUAUAUUUUGGGCCCUAAAAAAGGAACAGGACUGACUCACUUUACCAAAUUUGGAACCAUCCCUCUUAAUUCAGUCCCAUGUUACACAUCUGCCUGACUGUUCUUCAUAAAUGAGACAGAGAAAACCCGGUUCAUGUGAGCACAGCAGUUUGGGGUUGGAUCAUUAUUCCUCAAGUUCUGCAGCAGUUAAGAAGAAAAUGUAGAAACAAUUUAAAUUUCCAUGACAUUAGAAGAGAAAAAGCUUUGAAGGUACAGGGAACUUAAGAACUCAACUCCUGGCGCUUUUAGUGGAAGUUGCAUGUUUUUGAACAUCUCCAUAAUAAAUAACUGCCAUGUGAGUGAUUUUUCA